AAUAACUUUCAUCGGGUUCUAUUUUAUUUCGUGAGUGAUAUUAAAUUAUUUAAUUUUGCACGAGUGUUAUGUAUAUUCCUCGAAUGGCUCGAAAGUUAUACGCGAAUUGUAAAUGCAUCGAUAAUGGUAAUGCAUUUUGGGGUUAACCUCGUGGUAUUUCAAAAUAAAAAGUGUUGUGCAGUGCUAGUUAAGUCUAAUGUAAAUUAAUUAAUGAAAUUAAUUAAAUAGCUUGUGCAAAAUCCAAAGUGUAUGGAAGCAGACAUGGUGUGGGCUGCAUCGUACCUGAGAUCGUUCCAGUUGGCGAAAUGGCAGACACUGAUCAAGGU